rnacentral:rRNA from 1 species
AGUGAAGCGGCAACAGCUCAAAUUUGAAAUCUGGCCCUUUCAGGGCCCGAGUUGUAAUUUGUAGAGGGUGCUUUGGCGAUUGGCAGCGGUCUAAGUUCCUUGGAACAGGACGUCGCAGAGGGUGAGAAUCCCGUACGUGGCCGCCGGACUCCGCCGUGUAAAGCCCCUUCGACGAGUCGAGUUGUUUGGGAAUGCAGCUCUAAAUGGGAGGUAAAUUUCUUCUAAAGCUAAAUAUUGGCCAGAGACCGAUAGCGCACAAGUAGAGUGAUCGAAAGAUGAAAAGCACUUUGGAAAGAGAGUCAAAAAGCACGUGAAAUUGUUGAAAGGGAAGCGCUUGCAGCCAGACUUGCCCGCAGUUGCUCACCCUAGCCAACGGCUCGGGGCACUCUUCUGCGGGCAGGCCAGCAUCAGUUCAGGCGGCCGGACAAAGACCUCUAUCACGUAUCUUCCUUCGGGAUGACCUUAUAGGGGAGGUGUAAUGCGGCCAGCCUGGAUUGAGGUCCGCGCAUCAGCUAGGAUGCUGGCGUAAUGGCUGUAAGCGGCCCGUCUUGAAACACGGACCAAGGAGUCUAACAUCUAUGCGAGUGUUUGGGUGUCAAGCCCGGGCGCGCAAUGAAAGUGAACGGAGGUGGGAACCCCUCGGGGCGCACCAUCGACCGAUCCUGAUGUCUUCGGAUGGAUUUGAGUAAGAGCAUAGCUGUUGGGACCCGAAAGAUGGUGAACUAUGCCUGAAUAGGGUGAAGCCAGAGGAAACUCUGGUGGAGGCUCGCAGCGGUUCUGACGUGCAAAUCGAUCGUCAAAUUUGGGCAUAGGGGCGAAAGACUAAUC